UGAACCUGCAGGAAUGUCAGCUGAAAUACCUUGAUCUUUUCUACACAUUUCUGAAUCAGCAAGAUGUCAGUGACCUGGAGGGGAUUCAGGUGUCCUGGGGAAGUGUCGCUACGUUUACUAUGGGAAAAACUCAGAAGGCAACAGGUUUAUCCGAGAUGACCAGCUCUGAAGCCAAGUUCUGUAUACCUUCACCCAUUUCACGAAAAU
rnacentral:sRNA from 1 species